CAUAAAAGAAAUCUGGGCCUCCUU
rnacentral:piRNA from 1 species